rnacentral:rRNA from 1 species
UACGUAGGGUGCGAGCGUUGUCCGGAAUUAUUGGGCGUAAAGAGCUUGUAGGCGGUUUGUCGCGUCUGCUGUGAAAAUCCAUAGCUUAACUGUGGACGUGCAGUGGGUACGGGCAGGCUAGAGUGUGGUAGGGGAGACUGGAAUUCCUGGUGUAGCGGUGAAAUGCGCAGAUAUCAGGAGGAACACCGAUGGCGAAGGCAGGUCUCUGGGCCAUUACUGACGCUGAGAAGCGAAAGCAUUGGUAGCGAACAGGAUUA